AUGAAAAAAAUCCAAAAGGGUUUCUAUUUAAUGAUGAAAUUAAAAUGGAUAAAUGGAAAAGGCUUUUUGGAUUUUUUAAAAAUUUCUAGAAUGAAAGUCUUUAUGCUCUUAUUAAUAAGAUUUAUUAACCUUAUGAUUUUGGAGAAGAUAGGUGGAAGUUGUAAGUCCUAUUGUAAGAAUACUCCACUUUUCAUAAUUUUCAUAAUAGAAUCCUCAUAUUCCAUUAAGAAAAUUAUGAAAAGUUCAUUGAUAGGAAAAGAAUACUUAGCACACAGUAUACCAAACAAAACUUUUUUUUCUUGUAUAUAUAAGAGAAGAGGGGUUUUUUGUUCUAAGAAUAUUGUACCGAGUAAUUCGACACAUAAAAGUACAUUCAAAGAAGAAUCAAAAUUAUUAAAUAAUUGGAAUUCUUUUUUGAUAAGUCAAUUCAUAUUAUUCCAAAAUCUUAUUAUUUGUUUGUAG
rnacentral:rRNA from 1 species